rnacentral:rRNA from 1 species
GAUGAACGCUGGCGGCGUGCCUAAUACAUGCAAGUCGAGCGAACAGACGAGGAGCUUGCUCCUCUGACGUUAGCGGCGGACGGGUGAGUAACACGUGGAUAACCUACCUAUAAGACUGGGAUAACUUCGGGAAACCGGAGCUAAUACCGGAUAAUAUAUUGAACCGCAUGGUUCAAUAGUGAAAGACGGUUUUGCUGUCACUUAUAGAUGGAUCCGCGCCGCAUUAGCUAGUUGGUAAGGUAACGGCUUACCAAGGCAACGAUGCGUAGCCGACCUGAGAGGGUGAUCGGCCACACUGGAACUGAGACACGGUCCAGACUCCUACGGAAGGCAGCAGUAGGGAAUCUGCCGCAAUGGGCGAAAGCUUGACGGAGCAACGCCGCGUGAGUGAUGAAGGUCUUCGGAUCGUAAAACUCUGUUAUUAGAGAAGAACAAAUGUGUAAGUAACUAUGCACGUCUUGACGGUACCUAAUCAGAAAGCCACGGCUAACUACGU